UCCCUGGUAGUAUAUCGGCUAGUACACGCGCCUGUCAUGAUAAUCUGCGGUCGCGCGAAAGCGGGGUUCGACUCCCCGCCAGGGAG